AGUGAACGCUGGCGGUAGGCCUAACACAUGCAAGUCGAACGGCAGCACAGUAAGAGCUUGCUCUUACGGGUGGCGAGUGGCGGACGGGUGAGGAAUACAUCGGAAUCUACUUUUUCGUGGGGGAUAACGUAGGGAAACUUACGCUAAUACCGCAUACGACCUACGGGUGAAAGCAGGGGAUCUUCGGACCUUGCGCGAUUGAAUGAGCCGAUGUCGGAUUAGCUAGUUGGCGGGGUAAAGGCCCACCAAGGCGACGAUCCGUAGCUGGUCUGAGAGGAUGAUCAGCCACACUGGAACUGAGACACGGUCCAGACUCCUACGGGAGGCAGCAGUGGGGAAUAUUGGACAAUGGGCGCAAGCCUGAUCCAGCCAUACCGCGUGGGUGAAGAAGGCCUUCGGGUUGUAAAGCCCUUUUGUUGGGAAAGAAAAGCAGCAGGUUAAUACCCCGCUGUUCUGACGGUACCCAAAGAAUAAGCACCGGCUAACCUC
rnacentral:rRNA from 1 species